GCUCAACCGGGGAGGGUCAUUGGAAACUGGGGAACUUGAGUGCAGAAGAGGAGAGUGGAAUCCCACGUGUAGCGGUGAAAUGCGUAGAGAUGUGGAGGAACACCAGUGGCGAAGGCGACUCUCUGGUCCGUAACUGACGCUGAGGCGCGAAAGCGUGGGGAGCGAACAGGAUUAGAUACCCUGGUAGUCCACGCCGUAAACGAUGAGUGCUAAGUGUUAGAGGGUUUCCGCCCUUUAGUGCUGCAGCAAACGCAUUAAGCACUCCGCCUGGGGAGUACGGUCGCAAGACUGAAACUCAAAGGAAUUGACGGGGGCCCGCACAAGCGGUGGAGCAUGUGGUUUAAUUCGAAGCAACGCGAAGAACCUUACCAGGUCUUGACAUCCUCUGACAACCCUAGAGAUAGGGCUUCCCCUUCGGGGGCAGAGUGACAGGUGGUGCAUGGUUGUCGUCAGCUCGUGUCGUGAGAUGUUGGGUUAAGUCCCGCAACGAGCGCAACCCUUGAUCUUAGUUGCCAGCAUUCAGUUGGGCACUCUAAGGUGACUGCCGGUGACAAACCGGAGGAAGGUGGGGAUGACGUCAAAUCAUCAUGCCCCUUAUGACCUGGGCUACACACGUGCUACAAUGGGCAGAACAAAG
rnacentral:rRNA from 1 species